rnacentral:rRNA from 1 species
UACGUAGGUGGCAAGCGUUGUCCGGAAUUACUGGGUGUAAAGCGCGUGUAGGCGGGAGGCCAAGUCUGUGGUGAAAUCGCCUGGCUUAACUGGGCGGGGUCCAUGGAAACUGGUCACCUGGAGGUCGGUAGAGGCAAGUGGAAUUCCCGGUGUAGUGGUGAAAUGCGUAGAGAUCGGGAGGAACACCAGUGGCGAAGGCGGCUCGCUGGGCCGGUCCUGACACUGAGGCGCGAAGGCGUGGGGAGCGAACGGG